UACGUAGGGUGCGGGCGUUGCCCGGAUUUAUUGGGCGUAAAGGGCGCGUAGGCGGCCACGCACGUCCGUUGUGAAAUCGCCCGGCUCAACUGGGCGGGGUCAGCGGAUACGGUGUGGCUCGAGCAAGCUAGGGGGCAAUGGAAUUCCCGGUGUAGUGGUGGAAUGCGUAGAUAUCGGGAGGAACACCAGUGGCGAAGGCGGUUGCCUGGAGCUUUGCUGACGCUGAGACGCGAAAGCGUGGGGAGCGAACAGG
rnacentral:rRNA from 1 species